CAACUGCAACUCUUAAAAAUGUUCAUAAAUCGCUGCAAUUUUAGAACAAAGAAAGAGAUUUUUCUUUUUCUUGUUGCUUUUUCCCUCUCAAUAAUCAUCGAGGUCACGAAUUUUAAUAGACGAGUUGUAGCAUAUCGCUUUGGAUUAGUGUAUUUUACUGAAACAGAAUUUUAUACUAGGAACAUAGUCUAGCUAAACCCUAGCUCGCUCUCCAUCAUGAACCCAUACGAUCACAGGUAUUCCGACCCUGACUCCUACCGUCACCGUCGCAGUGACUUGACGGGCGCAUCUCCUCCGGCGGGACCGCCACCAAUGUUAGGAAGAUCUUAUGGUCGCAGUGGACAUCCGCCUGUGCCGUAUGGUGGUCCUCCACCUUUGAAUUUUGCAGGAAGAGGUGGUGGUCCUGCUCCAGUAGGUGGUUAUCCGCCUUUCGAGCCCCCUGUUGGUAGAUUUGACAUUGGCUAUGGAGGCGGCGAUGCUGGCAGUGUAGGUAGGGGGUUUAGUGGUCGACGUGUGCCUAAUGGUCAUUUUGGAGAUAGCAGACCUGAUGCAUCAAUUCGUGGAAGGGGCAGCCGGGGUGAUGGUGGACGAGGAGGACGCAGUGGUGGUGGUAGAGGUUUUGGAGGUGGUGGACGCAGUGGAGGUAGGGGGUUUGACGGGGGGCGUGGUGGUAGAGGAAGAGGAGGUAGGCAUGGUAGUGGAGGAGGUUCUAGAGGUGAUUUGGAUAAUAUUGCUCUUCCAAAGCAGGAUUUUGGAAAUUUAGUACCUUUUGAGAAGAAUUUCUACAUUGAGAAUCCUUCUGUGCAGGCUAUGUCUGAACAUGAAGUUAUAAUGUAUCGGGCACGAAGGGAUAUUACUGUUGAAGGGCAUGACGUGCCUAAGCCUAUUCGGAUAUUUCAAGAGGCUAAUUUCCCUGGUUAUUGCUUAGAGGUGAUUGCUAAGUUGGGUUUUGUUGAGCCUACACCAAUCCAAGCUCAAGGCUGGCCAAUGGCCCUCAAGGGUAGAGACGUAAUUGGCAUUGCUGAGACUGGUUCUGGUAAGACUUUAGCAUAUGUACUACCGGCUUUGGUACAUGUCAGCGCACAGCCUCGAUUGGUACAGGGUGAGGGGCCAGUUGUGUUAAUAUUGGCUCCCACAAGAGAAUUGGCUGUUCAAAUCCAAGAAGAAGCUUUGAAAUUUGGUUCGCGUGCUAAUAUUAGGACUACUUGUAUAUAUGGUGGUGCUCCCAAGGGACCUCAAAUUCGUGAUCUUCACAGAGGUGUUGAGAUUGUUAUUGCUACUCCUGGUCGACUAAUAGACAUGUUAGAGGCUCAACACACCAAUUUGCGAAGAGUUACUUACCUUGUCUUGGAUGAGGCUGAUAGGAUGUUGGAUAUGGGAUUUGAACCACAGAUUAGAAAACUUGUAUCUCAAAUCCGACCAGAUAGACAGACGUUGUAUUGGAGUGCCACAUGGCCAAGAGAGGUUGAAACUUUAGCAAGGCAGUUUCUGCGCAAUCCAUACAAGGUAGUCAUUGGAUCAACUGAUUUGAAAGCAAAUCAGUCAAUAAACCAAGUUGUUGAAAUUGUCUCAGAGAUGGAGAAGUACAACAGGCUAAUUAAACUGCUAAAAGAAGUGAUGGAUGGGAGUCGGAUUCUGAUAUUUAUGGAGACAAAAAAAGGCUGUGACCAAGUUACGAGGCAGUUGAGGAUGGAUGGUUGGCCAGUUCUAUCCAUCCAUGGUGAUAAAAAUCAGACUGAAAGGGAUUGGGUCUUAUCUGAGUUCAAAAGUGGCAGAAGUCCUAUUAUGACUGCCACUGAUGUUGCUGCUCGGGGUCUUGGUAGGAUCAUUAUGUGUUAGGAGUCUUAGUUCUUUCACUUAGAUCUUGAAAUUUGAAGAUGGGAGUCAGCCGGGUGCUAUCCAGUUUCAUGACAAAAUAAUUUGUGGUAUGGGAGCAAGGGGAGGUGCCAUGACGCAGUAUGGCUGGCUGGUUAUCAUAUAUUAACUUGUAAGCAUGGUUCUUGCUUUAAGGGAUUUGCAAGCUGGAGUGAGAGGCAUAUCAGUUUCUCAUAUUCACUAGAUAUUCCCAUAAAAUAGCCUGCUUGGGUACUAACUUACUCCUACAGCUCAUGUUACACGGACAUAAGGAGCACUGCCAGUCGAUAUUACUGGAACAGCAAUUUAAGAUUUUCGGAAUAUCCCAUAUGUCACUAAUAUGGGUGCUUCUCUAGGUUGGAAAAAGGGUAAUAUAGAAAUUUGGUUUCAUAUGGUGCUUUAAUUUGCUUCAAUUGAUUAAUAUGGCAUGGCUCCAAUAUCAGGUGUCUAAGUAACAUGGUUGAAGUCAGUUGUCCCCAUCCACGGUUAUGGAGCUGGUUUAUCUCAGCAGCCCGGUUGACUCGCAGAUAAUUAUAAAUUGUUUGGAUACAGAUGUGGUGAUGGUGAAGCUGCUCCUUAUCCCUGCAAGGUUAAGAUGUGAAGGACAUAAAGUGCGUGGUCAACUAUGAUUUUCCUUCCUGUCUUGAGGAUUAUGUCCACAGGAUCGGUCGAACUGGUCGUGCAGGGGCUAGGGGUACUGCAUUUACCUUUUUCACGCAUGCAAAUGCUAAGUUUGCUAGGGAUCUUAUCAAAAUCCUACAGGAAGCAGGGCAGAUUGUGCCCGCAGGAUUGUCUGCUUU